GGGGGGGGGGGGGGGGGGGUAUACAGGGUCAGGCUGUGGUCUUUGGGUCGGAUCGGGUGCUACAGAGACUUGAUACAAAAAAUAAAGGAGGGAAUAACUUGUAAUAUAGCUGACAUAUCAUCCUAAACACAUCCCGAGCGUCUGCCCCUCCUAUCCGCUGUGCCGGCCCUCUCCUUGCUGAACCGAAAACUACAACCAAACCUCCCCACUCUCGCUGCGUGUGUCUCGUGGUCGGACACGCCUCCGAGCCGCACGAAAGGAAGCGUUUCAGGAGGAACCGCUCCAACCGAGACGGCGGCGGCGGCGGAGGAGGAAUACAUUUCGUUUCCUGGGACCCUCUAUUUAUUCUCCCAUAUAUAUACCCCCUCCUCCCAGCUGCAGCGGUUGACUUUUCACACGCCGCCCACACCCCGAGGCCUUCAUCAUCAUCAGCACCCUCUGCCGACACGCGCUCCCCUUCAGAGCAAUAGGAAGCCGCUCUGGUCUCUAAAACACUGAAGUAGGAGUCAUGAGAUUAUUGUUUUUCCGAUUUCUUCCUCGGAGCCGGAGCGGACGUCUCUUUGGCCGGAAGGAGCCCGUUUCCGCUCCAUCCUCCGGCUCUCAGAACGGGUCCCCCCCAUCCCCCCUGCCCCCUCCCCCCUCGCGGAUUCACCCCCUUGCAGGACCUGAAGGAGAGGACAAGCCGGGCAGACAUUGGGAGACACUGCGUGUCCGUUGUCCCCGCAGCAGGACAGAAACUCUACAGUGAAGCUUGUGUGAAUGAGUAAUGGUUCACACACACACACACACACACACCUUCAGACUCCCCCCUUUGUUUCCUUCUCAGCUCUUCCACCCCCCCCCCCCCGCUCUGCUCCUGUUUCUUAGGUUCAUUGUUUUCUAUCAGUUUAUUUUUGUCUUUUUUUUUGUUGUUUCGUUUAUGUUCAUUUCUUGUUGAGUACAAAAAUACUAAAGUGCAACAACAAUGAUUAAAAAGAAUAUCAACCAAACUGAGAUGAAUAAAUAUAUAUAAAUAAAGAACUAAUUUAAAAAG
ensembl:lncRNA